rnacentral:rRNA from 1 species
UGCAGGUCGAACGGCAGCACGGACUUCGGUCUGGUGGCGAGUGGCGAACGGGUGAGUAAUGUAUCGGAACGCGCCUAGUAGCGGGGGAUAACUACGCGAAAGCGUAGCUAAUACCGCAUACGCCCUACGGGGGAAAGCAGGGGAUCGUAAGACCUUGCACUAUUAGAGCGGCCGAUAUCGGAUUAGCUAGUUGGUGGGGUAACGGCUCACCAAGGCGACGAUCCGUAGCUGGUUUGAGAGGACGACCAGCCACACUGGGACUGAGACACGGCCCAGACUCCUACGGGAGGCAGCAGUGGGGAACUUUGGACAAUGGGGGAAACCCUGAUCCAGCCAUCCCGCGUGUGCGAUGAAGGCCUUCGGGUUGUAAAGCACUUUUGGCAGGAAAGAAACGUCAUGGGUUAAUACCCCGUGAAACUGACGGUACCUGCAGAAUAAGCACCGGCUAACUACGUGCCAGCAGCCGCGGUAAUACGUAGGGUGCAAGCGUUAAUCGGAAUUACUGGGCGUAAAGCGUGCGCAGGCGGUUCGGAAAGAAAGAUGUGAAAUCCCAGAGCUUAACUUUGGAACUGCAUUUUUAACUACCGGGCUAGAGUGUGUCAGAGGGAGGUGGAAUUCCGCGUGUAGCAGUGAAAUGCGUAGAUAUGCGGAGGAACACCGAUGGCGAAGGCAGCCUCCUGGGAUAACACUGACGCUCAUGCACG